UUUAAGUCUGUAUUUGAGUAUCCUUUAAAUUCUGUAGAAUUGGUACAUGUCCUGUCUUUUCUUUCAAGCUUCGUGGAAGCUGCGUACAAUUCUUCAGAAUCAACUUCAAAGAUUGCUUCUUCCAGUUUUCCCCGUUUUGCUACAUCUGCUGCAGCCUUAAAGCAAAAGCUUCAGCUCUAAGGACAGAAUCCACUUUCUUUACCAGAUGCCCCAUCGCUACUUAAGACAGUGAGAGGGGGAGGAGAGGGACCAGUUCUCUGAAACAGUGUUAUAUUAUCAUUUAGUUUGCAUUCAAUCAAAUUUCUAGUAUUUGCGUUACAGUGAUGGCCUCUUCCGCCUUACAGGCCUUAUUAGCCUGCGCUCAAGCUAUUCAAGAUGGGAAUCUGAAACUGGCCGAUUCACACUUAGAGCUGAUCUUGAAUCUUGCUGCAAAGGAAUCCGAUGAACAACAAAGCAAAGUGGUGAAAUUCUUUGCAGAAGCUCUAGUUCGCCGAGCUUACGGACUUCAUCCUACCAUUCCUUAUAAUUUGCAGUGUCUUCCAGUUUAUUGUACUUACCUUAUCGGCGAUGCGAUCAAGACUGUUGUAACGAAAAAGAAGCGAUUGCAUGUCAUUGACUUCAAAAUCCCAAGUCUACAUCAAUGGAGAAGCUUGUUUGGGAAACUAAACAAUUGUUACGCCGAUCCCCCGUCAGUCCGUGUAAGUGUCAUAUUACCACCAUUUUUGAAAAGAAGUGUAAAUAUACAAGAAGAAAAGCAGUAUGUCCUUUCUUGUGCUAAGGAUUGUGAUGUUGAGUUGGAGGAUGACUUGAAAGUGGUUUACGCCAAUAGCUUGGGUGAAGUGGAUGCGUCCAUGUUAGAUUUUAGAAGAUCAGAAGAUGAGGCCGUGGUCGUUUUGUAUAGUCAUAAACUCCAAAUGUUACUGGCGGAUGCGGGAGCAAUGGAGAGAGAGUCGUUAAAGUUGAGGCAGAUAAACCCAGAGAUUGUGAUGAUAAUAGAGCAGGAUGCUAAUAACAAUGACUCCAAUUUCAUCAAACGGUUGGAAGACUCUUUUCAAUAUUACUCUCAUGCUUUACGUGUCGCACCAGAUUCAUUCCAGGAAAUGGAGAAUGAUUAUAGGCGACAGAUAAGAAACAUACUGGGAUGUGAAGGCAAGGACCGAAUUGUGCGACAUGAGACUUUGGCUCAGUGGCGAUCCCGCUUGCUAAGGUAUGGCUUUCUUCCUGUUCCACUCGAGGGGGAGCCGUCGCUACUUUCCCCUGAAUUCCAUGAGGAAAAUGGGUGUUGGGUUUCAAAUAAGGAUUACCUGCCAAAGUUUUUCGUAUCGGCUUGGAAACUCACACAUUGGGAGGACCACUUCAAUCUAUCCAGCUAUAACAUUGGCCAAGGUUUCAAUACAUUUUCUACAUUAGAGGAUAUGGUACAACCAUUACAGCCUUUACACGAGGUUUCUUCAUUAAAUCGGUUAGCUGUUUUUGUCGAGAUAUAUGACAUGUUAGAAGAUGUAUGUUUGAAAUACAAACUUUCAUUGGCUUUAACAUGGGCUUGUGGGACUAAUGUGAAGCAAAACCUAGAUGGAACUAUCUCAUAUCCAUACAAGAAAGACAUUUUAUACAUUGAAAGUACUUAUUCUUAUGCGAAUAAUUUGAAUUCUCGAUGGUUCAUGGAAACAUAUGCAAAACAAAAUCAUCUUCUAGAAGGGCAAGCUAUUGUUGGAAAAGCACUUCAAUCAAAUGAGCCCUUCCUUUUUGAAUCAAGUAUUGUUAAGCCUGAGAAACGUGACUAUCAACUUCCUUUUGUUGCACGUGAAUUUGGCCCUCAUGCUGCUCUUGCAAUCUGUCUACAAAACCAUUACAAUGAUGUUUAUGUAGUAGAAUUCUUCUUGCCUCUAUCCAAGGGAAAACUUGAGAAACCAGAAUCCGUGGCACUUCAUAUUUUCAAUGACUUGAAAAAUAAGAAGAAAAUGUUUGUAACACUAAGAGUUCAAGGAACUGAAGUUGGUUUCCAAGAAGAAGCCACUUCAAACAUUCCACAGGUGACAAUGUCUAUGCGAAGCCCUCCACCAGCUUCAUCUAUCAAUGAUUUUCUAAACUCAAACAUAACAAGGCCUUUGAAUACAUUUGAACCAAGGGAUGGUCAUGUUGAACUGCAAAGACAAGGGUUUAAUGAGGAGGGGGCAAUGGUUUCAUGUUCCGACCAAGUGGGUAUGGCUACAAUAGGCUUUUCAUCAGUAUCUAUCCAUGCUUCAUCACUAGGUGGAAUAUGUCCCUUUAAUGCUUCCAUGCCAGUGGGUUAUGAUGCAGUACUGGAAACACAAGGGCCUUGGAAACAGGAAAUCAGAGAAAAGAAUUGCAUUUCUCAGAUUAUUUCCAAUGGUGAUAAUAAGAUUUUGAAAGUAAACAAGGUCUCUGCAAUCCCACGAACCAAACAGAGAAGAUCUGAAGUUUGGAAAGAUUUCAUUAAGUACGAAGAAAAUGGAAAACAAUGGGCCAAAUGUAAUCAUUGUAAGAAGGAGUUUACAGGGUCAAGCAAGAGUGGAACCACACACUUGAAAAAUCAUUUGGAAAGAUGUCCAGUUAAGAAAAGUGAAUAUCAGGAAAGGCAGUUGAAAUUUCCAGCUGAAACAGGUGAUUCUGCAACUCAAGAUAUCAAUGAAAGAAACUCAACCUUUGAUCAAGAAAGGAGUCGCUUGGAUUUGGUAAAAAUGAUUAUUAAGCAUCAAUUUCCAUUGGAUAUGGCUGAACUAGAAUUUUUCAAAAAUUUUGCAAAAAAUUUGCAGCCAAUGUUUGAAUUUCAAUCGCAAGCAAUUAUUUUAUCUGAUAUACAUCACGUCCAUGAGGAAGAGAAGGAGAAACUUCAGCAAUAUCUUGAUCAGAUUGCUUGUAACUUCAGUUUGACAAUUAGGAUGUGGAAGGACAAUCCUAGAAAGAUUGCAUAUUGUUGUUUGAUAGCACAUUUUAUUGAUGAUGGUUGGGAAUUAAAGGCGAAGAUAAUUGCCUUCAAAAUUUUGGAGCAUAGCUACGACACAGGGACUUUAAUUGGAAUUAUUCGAAGCUCAAUUUUGGAGUGGAAUAUGAGCAAGAAAGUAUGUUCCAUAACUGUGGAUAAUUCUUCUUUGAAUGAUGAUCUAGUUCAACAGAUAAAAGAAGCUUGUCUUAGUGACCCAGGCUCACUUCUUUCCAUUCAUUGUUUCAUCAGUUGCACUCUUAUUCAGGAUGGAUUGCAUGAGAUAGAUGAUAUAGUUUUGAAAAUGAGGAAAUCAAUUGAAUAUAUUAGUGAAACAGCACAUGCAAAACUGAAAUUUCAAGAAGCAGUAAAUCAAGUGAAGCUACAAGGAGGGAAAUCAAGGGAUGAUCUUCCUUUAGGGCUGGAUUCAGACUUUGGCAUACUUGAGAGUGCUUUGGAAUUAAGAGAAAUAUUUUGUCAAAUGGAGCAAAUUGAUGGCAGUUUCAGAGUAAACCCGUCAAUGGAGGAAUGGGAUAAGGCAAUAGCUCUGCACAGUUGUUUGAAAGUCUUUUAUGACAUUUUAAGCAGUUUUGAAGGAAUUCAAUCCCCUACUGCAAAUUUGUAUUUUCCCAAGCUCUGUAACAUAUACAAGAAAUUUCUUCAAUUGGAAAAGAGCAGUUAUCCAUUUGUUUCAUUGAUGAAGAGGAAAUUUGACAACUAUUGGAGCUUAUGUAAUUUGGUUUUCACUGUUACAGUUGUUCUUGACCCGCGAUUAAAAUUUAAGUUUGUGGAGUUUUCAUACCGUGAGAUUUAUGGUCCUGAUAGUAAGAUGCAAUUGAACAAAUUUCACAAAGUUCUUAUGGAUGUUUACCAUGAAUAUGCCAAUGAACCUAGAAAUCUGACCACAUCUGCAUCAGACUUUGGUGAUUUUGGCAGUUCAACAGGACAAAGUACACCGAUUGCUAAUGAUUGUAUUUUGGACUCCUUUGGUAAAUUUGCAUCUGCAAGCAACUUUAAUGAAUUGGCCUCAUGGAAGUCAGAACUUGAUUGCUAUUUAGACGAACCUUUACUUCGCUUGGAUGAAACAUUGUUUGAUAUACUAGGUUGGUGGCAUGUUAAUUCUGAAAGAUUUCCUACACUUGGAAGAAUGGCUCGUGAUCUCCUUGCAAUGCCGGUGUCAAUUGUUCCACCAUGUUCGGAUCUCAGUGCCGUGAUCACAAAUCCAGCCUACAGUAGCUUGAAUCCUGAAAGCCUGGAAGCUUUGGUAUGCAGCCAGAACUGGUUGGAAAUGCCAAAAGGAAGUGGCAGAGCAAAUCAUGUACCACAGCAAAAUAUGGCAAAAAGGAAGAUGGAAGAGAAAGAGACUCAUGCGUUAAAGAACUUUCAGCGAGAAGGGAUGGCACCAUUAAAAUCAUCAGUUAUUUCUACCAUUGUGUUUAUCUCAACAUUGGAUUCUAUUCUAUGUUGAUAUCAAGAAGCAGAAAUUUUCAUGGUUGGAUUCGAUCACAUCUUCACGAAUGUUACAUGUUGUUGAAAAAGAAGCAAUCUUAGGAUGGUUCAAAAGAUUUCUACUGCCAACGUUAGGCUAUAAAAAUGCAAACAGAUGGCCAUUUGAAUUGCGUUACGAUAUUCCUGUGCAAGAGAACCUGGUUGAUUGUGGCCUAUUCGUGAUGAAGUAUGCUGAUUGCCUUACGCAUGGUGAUGUCUUCCCUUUUACACAACAAGACAUGCCACACUUUCGACAUCGUACCUUUCUUGAUAUAUACAAAGGAAGAUUGCAUUGCCAAAAGUAAGCAAGACAGUUAAUUGCAUGGAGUUCAUCAAAGGAAGUGUUAGAAAAAAAUCUGACUCUGAAGGAAAAUUAUUUUCAUCCUAAUUAUUAUUUUUAUAUAAAUUAACAUUGAAAAUCAUGAAGAACAAAUUAUAAACAACUCAAUUACCAUUUAUUUUUAUUUUCUUUCUCUAGCUAGCAAAGAUGUGGCAUUAAAACACAGUUACUGAUAAAAUGACAUUUCUACUUGGUUACUCAAGAAUAACCCAUAGGCAUCCGUCAUUGAUGUUUACUUGGAGUAAAAAACAGGUAUUAUUUACAAAGAACCUGUUCGAAAAGAUAGACUAUCAUCUAUACAAUAUACUUGAAUAGUUUGAUACUAGAAAAUGUCCAAUUAUCUCUCUUCUUGCCAUGGUUUGAUCCUGUGAUGACCUUUAAUAUCAGAACCUCGUUUCAAGUAGGCAGUAAAAUAUAACGAAUCCCUUAUUCCUGCACUAGUGUCCUGCGUUUUCAACCCCUAGAAGUUAACCUGACAUACAAAAGAAGAAACAGCUUAAAUGGGAACUGACCGUAUCCUGCUAUUUUGAGAAGAAACAGGUUAAAUGGAGGCUAAUUGUUUCAGAUUCCAAGUAUACAUGUUUGAAAUCAGAAAGUUCAUGUAAAAGAGACCUAAUGGUUUAAUCUUUGGUUAUAAUCUUACUUUAUUUUACAAAGAAAAUCGUAACUUAAGAUUAAAAA